AAUCCUAGGUGAAACUGAAGGCUAUGGUUUACCCGAAUUCCAAUUGAGGAUUAAGCGACACUUCGUCGUCGACAGUUGAGAAAUGAGACCACACCAGAUACUGUAGUGUGUUCAGGUUUACUUUUUUUUUUUUUUUUUUUCUUCCUUGCCUUGCUCUGUUCGAUACUUCGAUUACUUCAAUGGCGGGAACGCUCCAAGCCAUGAUUCUCUCUCCUUCCUACAUCAACAAACCGGUAUCGUUUCCUUUCAUGAAUCGGCAUUUGCCGCCGAAUAGCACGCUCCUCUUCACCCGCUCUGUCUCUUCCAGUCGCAAUCGCUCGAUUUCAACGACCAUCAAAGCCCAUGAGCGUCCCAAUCAGAUAGAUGAUGGCCAUGGAAGUAAACGUAAUCCCUCGAAGGACUUGAAUUGGGGUGAAAGGCUGUUCAACUUUGCCGGAAACAAUUUUCUUCCGUUAGCUCUUGUUAGUGGAGUAGUAUUGGGAUUUGUAAAUCCUAGCCUCGGUUGCCUUGCUGACCGAUACUAUCUCUCAAAGUUUGGCACAUUUGGGAUAUUUAUAAUCUCUGGUUUGACUUUGCGUAAUGGAGAUGUUGGUGCUGCCAUGGAAGCGUGGCCUGUUGUAAUCUUUGGACUUUGCUCCAUUCUAUUUUUUACGCCAUUCUUUUCAAAGAUAGUUUUGCAAAUUCGUCUCCAGCCUCAAGAAUUUGUCACAGGCCUGGCUCUAUUUAGUUGUAUGCCUACUACGUUAUCAAGUGGAGUGGCACUUACUAAUCUUGCUGGAGGAAAUUCUGCACUUGCUCUUGCAAUGACAGUGAUAUCUAAUCUUUUAGGAAUUAUGAUUGUUCCAUUUUCGAUUUCUAGAUUUAUCGCUUAUGGAGUUGGUGUAUCUCUUCCAACUGAACAACUAUUUAGAAGUCUGGUCAUCACACUUUUAAUCCCUCUUAUCGUGGGGAAGGUUUUCCGAGAGUCCUUCAAAGGCUUGGGAAACUUUGUUGAUCAAAACCGGAAGCUUUUUUCGAAAGUUAAUGCAAUGCUUCUCAGUUUGGUUCCAUGGAUUCAAGUUAGCAGGUCAAGAUCACUGCUACUUUUGGUCAAGCCGGAAGUUUUCCUUGUAGCCAUAUUGAUGGGAAUGCUUCUGCAUCUCAUGCUAUUAUCUUUUAACAUUCUUGCAAGUCAGAGCCUCUCUGCUGUUUCUGGUGGCAGCCAAUCAGUGUUUGCCAAGAAGGAAAAUUCCAGUGCCCUUAUACUUGUGGCAAGCCAGGUUACGUAGUAUUGUCCCUUCAAAAUAAUAUUUGUUUUUCUAUACUGCUAUCCAUAUAUGCAUGGAUUUUCUCCGAUGAAAAUGGUAAACUAUAUGAUGUGCUUGCAUUUUGCUGGAUCCAUAUUAACCCAAGUUUUUAGCUUUUUGGAUUGAUGUUUCUUCCUAUAAGAACUAUACUGAUCAAAAUGUUUUUUAAAAUGAGAAUCAACGGAGGGAGGUAGGGCAACACAGUAGAGAAAUAAAAAUGGGAAAGUUUUGUGUGGUCCUGUAGAUAUUAGUGCUUUUUAAAAAUAUUUCUGUAAGUUUAGGCUUUGUAAUCAAUAGUUCUUUCCUUUGAUAAUGUUGGAGCACACACCCAAGCCAAAAUUAACUUUUGGAAAAUGAAAAGAGUUGUGAAGGGUUUAUAAGUGUUGGGAUGGACCUAGACUCUUAAGUCAUGGCUUUUGAGUAAUGGGCUUCCAUCCAAUGCUAAUAGACCAAUGUUAGACCCAUGUAAUGUGGGCUCACCCCCGGCCCAAAAUGUCAACAGAUAAUUAAGAAUAUAUUUGAGAAAAAAGAUUGGAUUGAGAUUUUUUUUUUAAUGUGGAUGUUAUUUGGUUGACAAAGGAAUUAUUUUGUGCUGCUUUUGUUGAGGUGAUGGUUGAGGCUUGAUGUGUUCACAUGGUUCUCUGUAGAAAACCCUGCCAGUAUUGGUGGCAGUUGUGGAGCAGCUUGGCGGUGCAUUUGGUGAAUCUGGACUGCUGGUUCUUCCUUGCGUUGCAGCACAUUUAAAUCAAAUUAUCAUGGAUUCCUUCAU